UUUUUUGAUACCAUCAUAAAACAGAUAAAUGUACUUUCCUGAGAGGCUAGUUUUAGGAAAACACUGUUAACCAAUGCAUUCUUGUGUUCUGUGCGUUUUUAAGCCUUCUCUCGGCCUGAAAACGCCUUAAUAGUCAAGAAAGCACCAAAACUAAUUUUGAACCUAAAGGGUUGGAAAACUAUUCACAAACCAUGAUACCAUCAUGAAAAGGAUAAAUGUACUUUCCUGAGAGGCUAGUUUUAGGAAAACACUGUUAACUAAUGCAUUCUUGUGUUCUGUGCGUUUUUAAGCUUUCUCUCGGCCUGCAAACGCCUUAAUAGUCAUGAAUGCACCAAAACUUAGUUUGAACAAAAAAGGUUGGAAAACUAUUCUCAAACCAUGAUACCAUCAUGAAAAGGAUAAAUGUACUUUCCUGAGAGGCAAGUUUUAGGAAAACACUGUUAACCAAUGCAUUCUUGUGUUCUGUGCGUUUUCAGCUUUCUCUCGGCAAAACAGAUACAUGUACUUUCCUAAGGUUGUAGCUUGAU
ensembl:lncRNA